GAUGAACGCUAGCGGCAGGCUUAAUACAUGCAAGUCGAGGGGCAGCAGUCCCGCAGCAAUGCGGGAGCUGGCGACCGGCAAACGGGUGCGGAACACGUACAGAACCUUCCUUCGAGCGGGGAAUAGCCCAGAGAAAUUUGGAUUAAUACCCCAUAGCAUUAACGAAGUGGCAUCACUUUGUAAUUAAAGAUUAUCACUCGAAGAUGGCGUGUGCGGCUGAUUAGGUAGUUGGCGGAGUAACGGCCCACCAAGCCUUCCGAUCAGUAACUGGUGUGAGAGCCACGACCAGUCACACGGGCACUGAGGACACGGGCCCGACUCCUACGGAGGCAGCAGUAAGGAAUAUUGGUCAAUGGACGAAAG
rnacentral:rRNA from 1 species